rnacentral:rRNA from 1 species
CCUACGGGAGGCAGCAGUGAGGAAUAUUGGUCAAUGGACGAGAGUCUGAACCAGCCAAGUAGCGUGAAGGAUGACUGCCCUAUGGGUUGUAAACUUCUUUUAUAUGGGAAUAAAAUGUUCCACGUGUGGGAUUUUGUAUGUACCAUAUGAAUAAGGAUCGGCUAACUCAGUGCCAGCAGCCGCGGUAAUACGGAGGAUCCGAGCGUUAUCCGGAUUUAUUGGGUUUAAAGGGAGCGUAGGUGGAUUGUUAAGUCAGUUGUGAAAGUUUGCGGCUCAACCGUAAAAUUGCAGUUGAAACUGGCAGUCUGGAGUACAGUAGAGGUGAGCGGAAUUCGUGGUGUAGCGGUGAAAUGCUUAGAUAUCACGAAGAACUCCGAUUGCGAAGGCAGCUCACUGGACUGCAACUGACACUGAGGCGCGAAAGUGUGGGUAUCAAACAGGAUUAGAUACCCGAGUAGUC